rnacentral:lncRNA from 1 species
AUCAUUUAACCUUUCCUUUUUCCUUAUCAUUUCCUUUUCCUUAAACCCUUAGACUCUUUCUUACUUUCCUUUUUAGACGCCACCCGUUCUCGGUGUCACACUCAAUUCAUUCAACAAUCAUUCAUAGAUUUUCUAUCAUUCAUCUAACAGACCGGUUAACCGUUCUCUUAAGAUCCUACGUUCAUUUCUCUAUAACCAUCCUAGCUCUCAAUCACGACCACAGGUCUUCAACCAAUCAAACAAU